ACACAUGCAAGUCGAACGGCAGCGCGGGAGCAAUCCUGGUGGCGAGUGGCGAACGGGUGAGUAAAGUAUCGGAACGUGCCCAGUCGUGGGGGAUAACGUAGCGAAAGUUACGCUAAUACCGCAUACGAUCUAUGGAUGAAAGCGGGGGAUCGCAAGACCUCGCGCGAUUGGAGCGGCCGAUAUCAGAUUAGGUAGUUGGUGGGGUAAAGGCUCACCAAGCCGACGAUCUGUAGCUGGUCUGAGAGGACGACCAGCCACACUGGGACUGAGACACGGCCCAGACUCCUACGGGAGGCAGCAGUGGGGAAUUUUGGACAAUGGGCGCAAGCCUGAUCCAGCCAUGCCGCGUGCAGGAUGAAGGCCUUCGGGUUGUAAACUGCUUUUGUACGGAACGAAAAGGUUUGACUUAAUACGUUGGACUCAUGACGGUACCGUAAGAAUAAGCACCGGCUAACUACGUGCCAGCAGCCGCGGUAAUACGUAGGGUGCGAGCGUUAAUCGGAAUUACUGGGCGUAAAGCGUGCGCAGGCGGUUAUGUAAGACAGAUGUGAAAUCCCCGGGCUCAACCUGGGAACUGCAUUAGUGACUGCAUAGCUGGAGUACGGCAGAGGGGGAUGGAAUUCCGCGUGUAGCAGUGAAAUGCGUAGAUAUGCGGAGGAACACCGAUGGCGAAGGCAAUCCCCUGGGCCUGUACUGACGCUCAUGCACGAAAGCGUGGGGGAGCAAACAGG
rnacentral:rRNA from 1 species